AUCCACAUGACGAGUUCCGAAUUGGACGAAACACGCGUCAAACUGGAU
rnacentral:hammerhead_ribozyme from 1 species